AAUAGUGUGUGUGUGUGUGUGUGCGGUAAUUGUGUCCAUGCGCGAGACUACAGAGGAGGGAGGAGAGACCGAGAACGGGAGAAGGGCCGCCAUUAUUGGGAAGCCGAAAAAAACACAUUAACACACACAUUCACACGCGCUCCGUCACUGGACUUCGCCUUUAUGUUGGGAGAAGUCCUUUUUUUCCCCGCAAGAGACUUGCGCUGUUCCGCACAGACCGCGUGCUGACGACUGAAAUGUGUGAUAAACAUGGACAACUCGAGAUGUUUUGGACACAACAAAGGAAAUUAUAAGUGCUCAAAAACAACGUGGUGAACCCAAGGGAAGACACAACGAUACAAAGCUGUUUUUUCCCCCUCUCUCCUUCAACGCCCCCUCCUUUCCAACAAGAAACAAUGAUCUGAUAUUCCAGCCUGGUUUUUCCUCGAUGCUUUUUGUCUUUUGUGCUGCGUUUGGGAAGAGAACCACAAAUCAGAUUGUUGAAAACUUUCAGAAUACAAUCAGUCAUUGAAAGAAGAGACUGUAUUGCGAUCGGAAAGCUGCAGAAGAGAAACGCCGAGGUUUAUGGGACUACUGCUGGACUAUUAUUAUUGUUCUUCCUCAUCUUGAUGAAUUUCUGAGCCGGUUACUGCUGCUGCAGAUAAAGGAGUGAAAGAGAAGAGAGAGGGAGGCAUGCUGUGGGUCAGAUCCAGGUUGGGCGAACCUGAAAACUACAGUAUUUCUGUGUCAGAUUGCCCCUGAAGAGAGGAGAUGGGCUGGAAUAAUACCACCUGCAGCACACCCACCUAAGUCCACAGGGACUCCUCUCCCCACCCUCAAACCCAUUCCGUUCUUCCACUUCUAAACCUCUGCCAAAAUUGUGAAUGGCCAAAUGACUGUGGAUUUAAAAUUUGAUCAUUAAAGGGAUCGGAUAUACUGGCCCUGCAUGGAAAAAAAACCCUAAAGUAACGUUCAGGAUCUUUAGAAAUAACUAAUUUGUCAAGCCUGAAAGCAUUUUGAUGGAACAUCAGCCCAGCAGCUUUCAAACUAGAGCUUCUGGGAAUGGCAAAAUGAGUGCUGUCAUACGAUGAUGAUGGCAAAAAAACAAGAUGCCCGGGCACCAACCUACAAUCUUGUUGUGGUAGGUUUGUCCGGGACUGAAAAGGAAAAGGGGCAAUGUGGGGUAGGCAAGUCCUGCCUUUGUAAUCGCUUUGUUCGCCCCAGUGCUGAUGAUUUUUAUUUGGACCACACAUCUGUUUUAAGCACAAGUGACUUUGGUGGUAGAGUGGUAAACAAUGACCACUUCCUGUUUUGGGGCGAGGCGGUACGAAUGUUGGAGGAGGGCGCUGAGUGCCGAAUGCAUGUGGUGGAACAGACCGAGUUCAUUGAUGACCAAACGUUUCAGCCACAUCGAAGUACUGCCUUACAGCCCUAUAUCAAGCGGGCAGCUUCCACCAAACUAGCCUCUGCUGAGAAGCUUAUGUAUUUCUGCACAGAUCAGCUAGGACUAGAGCAAGACUUUGAGCAGAAGCAAAUGCCUGAAGGCAAGCUUUUAGUGGAUGGAUUCUUACUCUGUGUAGAUGUUAGCAGGGGAAUGAACCGAAAUUUUGAUGACCAGAUGAAGUUUGUCACCAAUCUCUAUAACCAGCUAGCUAAGACCAAGAAGCCAGUUGUACUUGCGCUAACCAAGUGUGAUGAAGGAGUUGAGCGGUACAUCAAAGACUCUCACACCUUUGCCUUGGCCAAGAAGAAUUUGCAGGUUGUUGAAACCUCAGCACGCUCUAACGUUAAUGUUGACCUUGCCUUUCUUACCUUGGUGCAGUUGAUAGAUAAGAGUAGAGGGAAGCCCAAGAUCAUUCCAUACUUUGAAGCGCUCAAGCAGCAGAGUCAGCAGAUAGCAUCCUCUAAGGACCGCUAUGAGUGGCUGGUAAGCCGCAUUGUGAAGAACCAUAAUGAAACAUGGCCCAACAUCAACCGCAGAAUGCAGACAUCCCCUGAAUACAAAGAGUAUGUCUUCCUCGAGGGUACUUCCAAGGCCAAGAAACUAUUCCAGCAGCAUGUGCAUAGGCUCAAGCAAGAGCAUAUAGAAAAGCGGCGUAAAAUCUAUCUCAGCACACUCCCACAGGCUCUCAAUUCCUUGGUUCCAGGUCUGGAUGAGAUUGAUCACCUGAGCUGGUCAGGAGUACAGAAAGUUCUCGAGACUAAGCGGGAAUUCUCCCACUGGUUUGUUGUGCUGGAUGACACACCUUGGGAAACUACACCACACAUUGACAACAUGGAGGAUGAACGCAUUCCACAGGACCUUUUGGAAACCCCUGCAGCAGAGCAAAUCUAUGAGGCUCACUUAGAACACCUGCGCAAUGAGCGAAAGCGGGCAGAAAUGCGAUGGGAGUUCAAAGAGAAACUUGCGUCUUCGCCGUUUGUUACACCUGGCAAACCCUGGGAGGAAGCUCGUAGCUUCAUCAUGAAUGAGGAGUUCUAUCAGUGGCUGGAGGAGCCUGAGUACCUUGAUAUCUAUAACAAACACCAGAAGAUUAUUAUUGACCAAGCCAAGGAGGACUUCCAAGAACUUUUACUGGAGUACUCCGAGUUGUUCUAUGAGCUUGAAGUUGAUGCUAAGCCCAGUAAAGAAAAAAUGGGUGCCAUCCAAGAGGUUCUUGGAGAGGAGCAGAGGUUCAAGGUCCUGCAAAAGCUUCAAGCUGAGAGAGAUGCCCUAGUGCUCAAGCAUAUCCAUUUUGUCUACCACCCUACUAAGGAAACCUGUCCAAGCAGUCCUCAUUGUGUGGAUGGCAAAAUUGAGCAACUCUUAGCCCUUCGUUUUCCCACUCGAUAUUCCUUUGAUGGGAGCUCAAAAUCACAAUUUGGUGAGGGAAAGGUAGACAGAAUUAAUCUUGUGAUCCUUGGCAAAGAUGGACUUGCAAGAGAGUUAGCUAAUGAGAUCAGAGCACUGUGCACCAAUGAUGAACGGUACGUGCUAGAUGGAAGGACUUAUGAACUGGCUCUUCGACCUAUAGAGGGAAAUGUGCGCCUUCCAGUGAACUCAUUCCAUACCCCCACUUUUGCCCCACAUGGUUGCCUCUGCCUCUACAACUCAAAGGAAUCCUUAUCCUAUGUUGUUGAUAGUAUUGAGAAAUUACGAGAGUCAACCAUAGGUCGAAGGGAUACCAAUAUAGUUCAGUUUCCCUUGUCUCUUCUGUUGGUCACCAAAAGAGGUGUUGGUUCAAUUUCUGACAUUGGAGGUGAAACGGCACAAAGCCUGAUCCAACAAGGUCAACAAGUGGCUGGCAAAUUUCAGUGCAGUUAUUUAGAGCCUGCUUCUCCAGGUGUGGGCUAUGGUCGCAAUAUAAAUGAAAAACAUUUAAACCAGAUACUCAAAGGUCUGUUAGAUACACGAAGACCCUCAGUUAGUCUUGGCAGUAGCUCCCCACCUUUGCUACCUUCAUUUGCAGGUUUCAGAGACUCUCAGCAGAGCACAGAGGGUGACUUGCGAAUCGUAAUGUGUCUGAUGUGUGGAGAUACUUAUGAUGUUGACCAGCUUCUUUCACCAUUCUUGCUGCCCCAGCACUGUCGGCCCUCUUCCAGUCUGUCCAGUGGAACAUCAGUUUUGUUGGAUUUAUCUAUUGGUGGCCAAAGGCAAAGCAUUGAUCUUGCUGUUCUAUCUUACCACUCAUCUUUUUCCUUACGUAAAAGCAGAUUAGUGCAUGGUUACAUAGCAGUGUACUCAGCCAAACGGAAGGCUUCCAUGGAAACCCUUUGUGCCUUCCUUUGUGAGGUCCAAGAUAUUAUUCCAGUGCAGAUGCUUGCUGUUGCAGAGACUCAAUCAGAACUUGCAGACUCUGAGGCAGUCCGGGAGCAGCUUGGCCAAGGGGAGGAACUGGCCCAUGAAAUUGACGCCCGUUUCAGCUCUGUAAUCUGUGGACCUGGUGGGGUGGUGGGAGGCUUGCAUCGGAUAGACCACUUCCAGCCAUUCUUUAAGGAGGUAGUGGAGAAGAAAACCAUUGUAGAGGCAACAUAUAUGUAUGACAACGUUUCAGACAGUGUCACCAAUGAAAAUGUUUCUUCACCUCGAUGUGGCUCCCCAAGCAUCACAUUGCUGGACUCAGAGGAUGACAUCGAGCCCUCCCCACCUUAUCCCACCCUAAGGGAAGAUGGCACUUUGGCCCAUGGUGGAGGUUUCAAGCUCCCAGAUAUGGAGGGUGAUGCCUUCUCACUCUUCUCUGACAUCACAAUUUUUGAAAACAAGCUUAACAACAAAGUCCCACCUCAGGUGCGACCAAAGCCAAAUGUCACCUUUGACAUUCCCAAACCCUCAAACAUCAGUUCAUACAUGGACCUGAGCCUACAUGGACCUAACAGGCGCUCAUUACCGUCAGUCACCUGGCCACCAGCAACUGAAGGUGGUUAUGAUCCAUCUGACUAUGCUGAGCCCAUGGAUGCAGUAGCAAAGCCCCGUCCCACAGAGGAGGAAAAUAUUUAUUCUGUACCACAUGACAGCACACAAGGCAAGAUCAUCACUAUUCGCAAUGCAAACAAGAGCCAUUCUAAUGGUGCAGGAAAUGGAUCAGACAGUGAGGCCGAUAGCAGUUCAUUGGAACGUAGACGGAAACUAUCUGCUCUUGGAGUUAAACCUCGGCUGUAUCGUGAUCGCUCCAAACGUCUUGGAAAGUUCAGCAGCUUCCGCACAAGCUUCAUUGGCAGUGAUGAUGAACUUGGAGGUCUCCCCAAGACUAAAGAGGAUGAGCUUGCUGCACAGAAAGGGGACAGUUCCUUGAAUGAAGAAGGCGAGGACCCAAAGAGGAGGAAUAUCUUGAGAAGUCUGCGAAGAAAUACCAAGCAGAAAACGCGGCCAAAGGCUCGUCAGUCAUCGUUGUCCAAACCUCUGGAAAGUAACUACUUCGGUGUUCCUUUGGCCAACGUUGUCACGCCAGAGCGGCCCAUUCCACUCUUCAUUGAAAAGUGUAUCCGUUACAUUGAGGCUACAGGGUUGAGCACAGAGGGGAUCUACAGGGUGAGUGGAAAUAAGGCCGAGAUGGAAAGCAUGCAGCGGCAGUUUGACCAGGACCCUAACAUUGACCUGAUCGAGAAGGACAUGUCUGUGAACACGGUGGCAGGAGCGAUGAAGAGCUUCUUCUCAGAGCUGCCCGAUCCUCUGGUACCAUACAGCAUGCAGACGGAGCUGGUGGAGGCCUUCAAAAUCAGUGAUCGAGAGCAGCGCCUCCACACCAUGAAGGACGUGCUCCGCAGGUUCCCUCGAGAAAACUACGAGGUCUUCAAAUACGUCAUCACUCACCUGAACAAGGUGAGUCAAAACAACCGCCUGAACCUAAUGACCAGCGAGAACUUGUCCAUCUGUUUCUGGCCGACACUAAUGCGGCCCGAUUUCACCACCAUGGACGCACUGACAGCCACACGCACCUACCAGACAAUCAUAGAGACCUUUAUCCACCAGUGUGCUUUCUUCUUCUACAAUCAGCCCUUGGCCGACACACCCAGUGGCUUGCCCGGACAGCCCGCCUCACCUACCACCACCUUGUCUUCUGCCUCCUCCAUACAAGGCUCCGCCUGUUACGCCCCAUUACAACAUGUAGCCCCGCCCUUCAGCCCCACCCAACAAUCCCCGCCCCAUUCUCCACCCCCAAUCCAGAGCCUGCUGCCUUCGCUCCACCCCCAUCACACCCCUACGGAACAACACAUGCUGUGAACCUGUAGACGAGGAGGAGAACUUUGGGAGCACUGAAAGAGAUUAAUUGAAUGGAAGAAACUUCCAAGGAGAUUGCACGGCCGUGCCUGACUUGUCACAAGCAAAAGCAGUAGAGGAACGAGAAAGAAAAAGGUCAAGAGUACAUGAGCUACGUCAACCACACUUCAUCGCCCUCUUUCUGCAUCAUGCUACUCUAUAAAUUGCUCUGUUCUUGGCCCGUUAUGCUCCUCACACACAUUUAGACAACUGCACAUGAAGUGUGGUAACCCCAAACCCAGAUCUCUAAUGGGUCCAUCUGACGUAGAUUGCAGUGUUGUCUUCGUCAGUCGGCGACCAAUGGGAGAUAGGAUGUAUGAAGCCCACCUCAUAUUCGGGUGGCCACUGUACGCAACCUCCUAGAAAUAAGGUUAAGCGGGCCAACAGGGUGGCCUAUAUAUUCACCAGAUUUGUGUUGUAACUUUCGACCACUGUUAUAAAUUACGAAAAAGAAAUGCUUUUUUCCAACGCGGCAACACAACCAUAUUCCAACCCCCUAUUUAUCCUGAAACCGCUUUUUAAAGAGAGACAGAAAUCAAAAGACAAAACUAGAACUUGUCGAACUGGAUCUAGUUUUGCUGGCAAGGAUGUGUGUGGCACAGCAUUCUGGGAUUUGAAGUCUUUUCCUCCCUUUUAUCCCCCGUCACAUGAGCCUCCAGAACAUGCUGGAAGACUAAUGCUUCUUUUAUUGCAGAAUGUCCUUGCAACCACACAACCCUCGGUUUCCUGCUCCACGAGGAUCUUCGGCUUUGUUCGGUGUCUGUUCAUUUGGGAGCUGUAUUAUUAUUCUUAUUACACGUUUGCAAGACGUUUCCUCAUGUUAGAUCUGUGGAUUACUUUUUGCGCACAUGAUUGGUGAACCAAUAAGUGAUGAGUUCUAAGGGAUGGGUUAGGUUGUGGUCCUCCUGCGUUUUAGAGGAGAGGUAUGCACUAAAUCAAGAGUUACCUCACAGUUCUGGAAGGUAAAGGAAGUUCGCACUAGAGGAGACGCGCUGGGCUGUAUCUAUGCGGAUGGCAUUGAAUCAGUGAGCUGUGGAAGCCUAGAGGAGGAUGAGAGUGAAGAUAGUGGCAUAGCUGUUAUGGCAUUCGGUAAAGAUAAAGUCUUCAGUGUGUUUGAAAUCAGCAUGUGGUGCGUUAUCCGAGUGAGAAUAUGAGCUUUUUGUCAAGACUGACUAAAUGUCUCAACUUCAGAGUUGACCUCAGAAGGAUGACAUUGUUUAUAAAAUGCCAGACAUUAAAAAAAAAAAAAAAAAAAAUUAGGAGAAGAAAACUUGGUUAAUGGGAAACGGGAAAGUUAAUGUGGUAGCUCGUGAGUGGACUUCCGUUUGUGAGCUCUUGGGGCGCAACACUACCACCCAGUGGACAAAGCAGGUAUUGCACGUUGAAACUCAACGCUAAUGUUACAUUUUUGUUUUUCAAGAAAAUGCUGGAUGCAUUCACAAUCACAUGGUUUAAAUACAAAAGCUGCCAUUUAGCUUUCAAGUUUAUAUCAAUAUUCCCCAGCACUUAUACGUCAUAAGUUUACUCACUCCAGAUUAGAUAACGGAUCAUUUUCUGUGACUUUUGUGUUUAUUUGAACUCAAAAGAGUCAGUUUGUUGUGAGCCGUGGUUUUCAAGCAGGCAGACGCUGUGAAACUGUGAAACAAUCACGUUUAUGGAGAAAAAUGAAUGUAUCCCACAGCAGAUUUCACUUCAUUUUUGUGCAUAUCUCUCCCUGUAAUACAUUAAGUGAACCACACCUGCCCUGUCCCUCUUUAACUUCAAUCCACAUCUACUCUGACUUCUGAUUGGCUGUGAUGAGCUGCAACUCUUUAACCGUUCUUGCUUAAACACUGCGUCUUUUGCCCUCAGAGAGCAGGAGUAAUGGUAUAUUUUGGGAAAUCGGGAGCUGUGUGGCCUAUACGCCCCUGGUACUUUGUAUGAAUGCUGCAUUCUCUGUGUAUUUUCAAUGUAUUCUUUCAGAGCCGACUGUCCUUCGCAGCCAAAGACUGUGCAAAAAAAAAAAAAAAGUCAUAAAAAAGGGCAGGGGAAGACGACUAAAAGCGACAUGACAAACGUGUAUUAAAAAUGUGACAUUGUUUCAGCAAUCCUAUUUGGCUGCAUCACUUUAUUAUUAUUUUUUUUUUUCAUUUUCUUUUUUCAGCAAUGGUGACAGAUUGUCUGUUAAGUUAAAGGAGAAAGGAGCAAAACUAUAUUCAGAAUGGUUGUUUAUUUGUACGUUAGGGGGUCUGACACUUUGCCCUGUAGUCAAUGGUGAUAGAAAAGGUGUUCUUUUUAUGUUUUAUUUUAAUAAUUAAAAAAUGAGACCUUUUUUUUUUUUGUGAAUGGUGUAAAGGCCACAAUGAUGUAGUGCAUGAUUCAAGACCAGGUCAGGGAGAGGGGUCUGCCACUCUCAGUAUUAAAAAAGGAAUAAAAAAAAUUAAAAAAAAAUAGAAUGGGAAAAAAACAGAAAUAAAUGAAGUUGGUAAUUAGUCUCAGUGGGAAUGGUGUAUAAACAGUAAGGCCUUCUGUGACCUGUAUUAUAGUUAAUAAAAUCAAUCUUGUAAAA